GAUGAACGCUGGCGGCGUGCCUAAUACAUGCAAGUCGAGCGAACAGACGAGGAGCUUGCUCCUCUGACGUUAGCGGCGGACGGGUGAGUAACACGUGGAUAACCUACCUAUAAGACUGGGAUAACUUCGGGAAACCGGAGCUAAUACCGGAUAACAUGUUGAACCGCAUGGUUCAACAGUGAAAGACGGUCUUGCUGUCACUUAUAGAUGGAUACGGGCCGCAUUAGAUAGUUGGUAGGCUCACGGGUUACCAAGGCAACGAUGCGUAGCCGAACGGAGAGAGUGAUAGGCGACAUGGGAACUGAACCACGGACCAGGCUACUACGGGAGGGAGCAGUAGGGAACCGUCCGCAAUGGUCGAAAGCCUGGCGGAGCAACGCCGCGUCAGUGAAGAAGGUCUUCGGAUCGUAAUACUCUGUUAUUAGGGAAGAACAACUGUGUAAGUAGCCAUGGACGUAUUGACGGUACCUGAUAAGAAAGCCACGGCUAACUACGUG
rnacentral:rRNA from 1 species